UUGCUGAAUUUCCUUCGUCAAGCUCUCAUUCUCUCGUUUAAGACGUUCAGUCUCUUCCUUGAGAGCAUCUUUCUGCAUCCAAAUCCAAAAGUACGAGAAUCCAUGCUUGGUUCGUGCCUCCAUUUCCAUGCUACCAAACGGGUCAUAAACGAAGGAAGAAAGCUGGAAUAAAAUGAAAAUCUAGUUUACCUCUGGAUCUUCGAGAAAAGCAUUUGCAAGGAUCUGAGUAGAAUCCAAUCUUCGAGCCAAUUCUGAAUUCUCUAUCUGCAAUCUCAAAUUGGACUUCCUCAAUUCUUCUGCUUCACUCUCUAAAUCUUUCAGCUUCUGCAACUUCAUCUGUAAAUUCUCAUCACUACCAGCACCUUUGUGAUCUUCUUGCAAUUUCAGAACUCUUUGUUGAAGGUUCUUUAUCAAUUCCCUGUUCUCUUCAGCUUCAUGCUUAAUUUUUUUCUUCAGCAGCUUCGCUUUCGCUUUCGAACGCUCAAGCUCUGCUACAAGUUUCGCAUUAUCGGCCAUUUGUGCUUCUAGCCUCCGAUUCUCAGACAUCAGAUUCUCGACCUUCAGAUCGAACAUUUUUGCCUCCAUAUUGCUAAUCGCCAAGCGAUUUUGAAGCUCCAUCACUGUUGUUUCUUUCUCUCUAAGUUCGUAGUAAUCGAGCAAUUGAUCCUCAAGACUCGUUUCUCUCUCUUGAAGCAUUCUGAUUAUGUUCUUGAGGUUCUUCAUCUCUCGAUCGUAGUCAUCCUUUUCUGGAGUUACAUAUGCUUUAGGAGGAGAUCCUAAUUUUGACCUACUAUGCGUGGUGUCACUGAUCACCUCCUUGAUGAACGGCUCUUCCUAAAAUGGAGAAAAAAAUGGCUUUACCUGCAAAGGCCCUGAUUUUUGUGUUAUUUAGCUGGGAUGGAUAUGGGGAUGAAAAUUGGGUUACAAGGAAAGAUAAACAAGAAUGAAAUUUGAAUGACAUGUCAUUUGGAGAACC